CCUACGGGAGGCAGCAGUGGGGGAUAUUGCACAAUGGGGGAAACCCUGAUGCAGCGACGCCGCGUGAGUGAAGAAGUAUUUCGGUAUGUAAAGCUCUAUCAGCAGGGAAGAAAAUGACAGUACCUGACCAAGAAGCCCCGGCUAACUACGUGCCAGCCGCCGCGGUAAUACGUAGGGGGCAAGCGUUAUCCGGAUGUACUGGGUGUAAAGGGGGCGUAGACGGUAAUGUAAGUCUGGCGUGAAAGCCCGGGGCCCAACCCCGGGACUGCUUUGGAAACUGUGUAACUGGAGUACGGGAGGGGUAGGCGGAAUUCCUGGUGUAGAGGUGAAAGGCGUAGAUAUCAGGAGGAACACCGGCGGCGAAGGCGGCCUGCUGGACUGAAACUGACGUUGAGGCUCGAAAGCGUGGGGAGCAAACAGGAUUAGAUACCCGAGUAGUC
rnacentral:rRNA from 1 species